rnacentral:tRNA from 1 species
UCCCUUGUGGCGCAAUUGGCUAGCGCGUCUGACUGUUAAUCAGGAGGUUGGAAGUUCAAGCCUUCCCGAGGGAG